GACGAACGCUGGCGGCGUGCUUAACACAUGCAAGUCGAACGGUGAACUUCUUCGGAGGGGAUCAGUGGCGAACGGGUGAGUAACACGUGGGCAACCUGCCUCCGGCUCUGGGAUAACUCCAAGAAAUUGGGGCUAAUACCGGAUGUUCACCGCUUCCCGCAUGGGUGGUGGUGGAAAGGGUUUCCGGCUGGGGAUGGGCCCGCGGCCUAUCAGCUUGUUGGUGGGGUAGUGGCCUACCAAGGCGACGACGGGUAGCCGGCCUGAGAGGGUGACCGGCCACACUGGGACUGAGACACGGCCCAGACUCCUACGGGAGGCAGCAGUGGGGAAUAUUGCGCAAUGGGCGGAAGCCUGACGCAGCGACGCCGCGUGGGGGAUGACGGCCUUCGGGUUGUAAACCUCUUUCAGCAGGGACGAAGCGCAAGUGACGGUACCUGCAGAAGAAGCACCGGCCAACUACGUG
rnacentral:rRNA from 1 species